rnacentral:rRNA from 1 species
GGGGAAUAUUGGACAAUGGGGGGAACCCUGAUCCAGCAAUACCGCGUGUGUGAAGAAGGCCUGAGGGUUGUAAAGCACUUUCAGUGGGGAGGAGGAUGCUUAGGUUAAGAGCUAGAGUAUUGGACGUUACCCACAGAAGAAGCACCGGCUAACUCCGUGCCAGCAGCCGCGGUAAUACGGAGGGUGCAAGCGUUAAUCGGAAUUACUGGGCGUAAAGGGUGCGUAGGUGGUCUGAUAAGUUAUCUGUGAAAUCCCUGGGCUCAACCUGGGCAGGUCAGAUAAUACUGUUAGACUCGAGUAUGGGAGAGGGUAGUGGAAUUUCCGGUGUAGCGGUGAAAUGCGUAGAGAUCGGAAGGAACACCAGUGGCGAAGGCGGCUACCUGGCCUAAUACUGACACUGAGGCACGAAAGCGUGGGGAGCAAAC